GAUGAACGCUGGCGGCGUGCCUAAUACAUGCAAGUCGAGCGAACAGAUGAGGAGCUUGCUCCUCUGACGUUAGCGGCGGACGGGUGAGUAACACGUGGAUAACCUACCUAUAAGACUGGGAUAACUUCGGGAAACCGGAGCUAAUACCGGAUAAUAUAUUGAACCGCAUGGUUCAAUAGUGAAAGACGGUUUUGCUGUCACUUAUAGAUGGAUCCGCGCCGCAUUAGCUAGUUGGUAAGGUAACGGCUUACCAAGGCAACGAUGCGUAGCCGACCUGAGAGGGUGAUCGGCCACACUGGAACUGAGACACGGUCCAGACUCCUACGGGAGGCAGCAGUAGGGAAUCUUCCGCAAUGGGCGAAAGCUUGACGGAGCAACGCCGCGUGAGUGAUGAAGGUCUUCGGAUCGUAAAACUCUGUUAUUAGGGAAGAUCAAAUGUGUAAGUAACUAUGCACGUCUUGACGGUACCUAAUCAGAAAGCCACGGCUAACUACGUG
rnacentral:rRNA from 1 species